rnacentral:lncRNA from 1 species
GCUAAUUGCGAAAACGAGCAGUUGGAUUUUCAAGUGUAUAACAUGACCAGUAGAUGCAGUAUUUACUAUGCCCAGAUUGCUUGAUUAACAAGCACAGAAAGCAGCGACAGAUUGAGAAGCCUCAUGAACAAAUGGCCUUAAGAACUAAGGGCCAUAUCAAAGUAAGCUCGAUCAAUCAGACAAAAAAUCCAGACAAAGUAGUCAAGAUAACUGAGAGAACAUAAUGGCACUUAGAAGAGCUAACAAAACUCGAUGUAGAUCCCAAACAGAUUCAGCAGCUCACAGACCAUAACAGACAUGAUCAAGUAAUAAGACAACAAACUCGAUCAAACAACACGAAGAUGAACUUUGAUUUUUUGUUUUUUUUUUUUUUGGAUGUGGCAGAUUUUCCGUUUUCAUAGGACAUUUUUCAAAGGUGGAGUUGACAGAUCCAUCAUAUGAGGCGGUUUUACAUAGGGUUUCAUAUCAAAUUUCAAAGUGAUUUUUUUCAGAGGCCGUUAGUCUAACGCUAGUUGAUUUCAGAGGGAAGCCAGUGAUGUCAGAUAUUGUGAUUUUUUAGAAGCCAUUUUUCAAAUGGCUGUUUUCAAUUGACAUAAAAG